GAUGAACGCUGGCGGCGUGCCUAAUACAUGCAAGUCGAGCGAACAGACGAGGAGCUUGCUCCUCUGACGUUAGCGGCGGACGGGUGAGUAACACGUGGAUAACCUACCUAUAAGACUGGGAUAACUUCGGGAAACCGGAGCUAGUACCGGAUAAUAUAUUGAACCGCAUGGUUCAAUAGUGAAAGACGGUUUUGCUGUCACUUAUAGAUGGAUCCGCGCCGCAUUAGCUAGUUGGUAAGGUAACGGCUUACCAAGGCAACGAUGCGUAGCCGACCUGAGAGGGUGAUCGGCCACACUGGAACUGAGACACGGUCCAGACUCCUACGGGAGGCAGCAGUAGGGAAUCUUCCGCAAAGGGCGAAAGCCUGACGGAGCAACGCCGCGUGAGUGAUGAAGGUCUUCGGAUCGUAAAACUCUGUUAUUAGGGAAGAACAAAUGUGUAAGUAACUAUGCACGUCUUGACGGUACCUAAUCAGAAAGCCACGGCUAACUACGUG
rnacentral:rRNA from 1 species